rnacentral:rRNA from 1 species
AGCUCCAAUAGCGUAUAUUAAAGUUGUUGCAGUUAAAAAGCUCGUAGUUGGAUUUGUGGCUGUCACGGGCGGCCUAUCACUUAGUGUUAGUGCUUGCCUGUGUCGCCAUCCUUGGGUGGAGCCCGUGUGGCAUUAGGUUGUCGUGCGGGGGAUGCCCAUCGUUUACUGUGAGAAAAUUAGAGUGUUCAAAGCAGGCUUAUGCCGUUGAAUAUGUUAGCAUGGAAUAAUAAGAUAGGACCUCGGUACUAUUUUGUUGGUUUGCGCACCGAGGUAAUGAUUAACAGGGACAGUUGGGGGUAUUCGUAUUCCAUUGUCAGAGGUGAAAUUCUUGGAUUUCUGGAAGACGAACUACUGCGAAAGCAUUUACCAAGGAUGUUUUCAUUA